UGUGUUUGGUGCAAUUUGUUUGGCGCCGAUAAGUCGGUCUUACGGGAAUGUUUUCUCCUGGUGGUGGUCCAUCGUGAGAACAUUCCGGUGGACAUUCCGGCAGCGGAGACUCUAAAUUAUUACAAAAUUGGAGGCAGCGGCGAUCAUCAUCACCAUCAUCAUCAUCAUCGAUCGCAAGAAUAACUACAACCGAGGUGGUUGCUAACAAUCGCGACGGCGUUUGCAGUAGACACCCGGAUCAGCAGCAGCACCUGCAGUAGGAUUUGUUUCCCCAGGAUCAUUUGCCACAAAAUGAGUUUCCGGAAAGUGGUUGUGUCAGCCUUCCCGUCGGCAAACCUUUAACGAUGAUGGUCCCAGAGUUUUCUUGAUUAGCGUCUGCCGGAGAACGACUUUGGCAUGAUCACCGGGCCAACGGAGGAUUUGACGGUGGAUACAGGAACGAUGCAAGUGGGUAGACGAUGAAAUGACUGCGACGGAAGAGGUCGAUUUACUCCCAAACUCGCCAACGCGCCGGACGAUGUUCUGUACUGCCUCCUCUCAAGCCAGGUGUGCAUCUCCCAGUUGCAGUCAGGCGUUUUGCGACAACGGCGUCGAAACGAAAAGUUCAAGUUCCGUCUGGAGAUUCCGACAAUUGAGCUGGAAGCCGCUAACGUUGCCGGUGCGGAUCGUACCCGAUCAGCGAUACGAAAACGUCCACCGAGCCCGAUACGUUCGAGAGUAGAAUUUGGCCAGGCCAUCUCGGAGUUGUAGGUGCUUCCCGGUGGCAAUCCGAGUUCAACGAGAAGGCCACCUUCAUCUACGUCGCGUUAAAGAGACAAACGUUCCAAAUCAGGCCGGUCCACAAUUUAUGAAUGAAUUUGCUUUGA
rnacentral:lncRNA from 1 species